rnacentral:rRNA from 1 species
UACGUAGGGUGCAAGCGUUAAUCGGAAUUACUGGGCGUAAAGCGUGCGCAGGCGGUUGUGUAAGACAGAUGUGAAAUCCCCGGGCUCAACCUGGGAACUGCAUUUGUGACUGCACAGCUGGAGUGCGGCAGAGGGGGGUGGAAUUCCACGUGUAGCAGUGAAAUGCGUAGAGAUGUGGAGGAACACCGAUGGCGAAGGCAGCCCCCUGGGCCAACACUGACGCUCAGGCACGAAAGCGUGGGGAGCAAACAGG